ACCCGGAUGUUGGGUUUGGGGCGUGACAGAAUGGUAUCAAAGCCUAGGUUAUGAUCAUUUGGGAACUAGGAUAUAAGUGAUUAGGAUAUGAUAGAAUAAUAUCAGAGCUUAGGUUUAAGAUCACUAGUGAUUAUAAAGUGAUAUCAAAAUUUUAUGCAUGAUCAAUAAGAUGUGACAGAGUGAUAUCGGAGUCUGAGACCGAUGCAUCGCAGGUAUGA
rnacentral:lncRNA from 1 species